CACAUCUCGAAAAUAACAGCGCCAUGUUGCUUAUGCUGCGAUGCAUUCUGGGUAGAUUAUCGUAUGCUAGGCGCUACAGCGCUCGGUCCAGCCACAACAGUAAUUUUUGUGAAAUAAGUAACGUUUAGUUCUUUGAAUUUGAACUGGAGCGCGUUUAGAAUGUAGAACUGACGAGAGGAAUGAAAAUAAGGACCAAACAGAUGAAGAAUCGGUUGAAACAGUCCGUGUUUGUGCUGCUGCGGCUAGGAAAUGCUAACGCAGACCGAGUCCGUUAGCAGUGAAGAGCUAAUUCAAGCUAUUUACGUACUGGAGAACAAUGAGAACAGAACCUUUCACUUAUUGAUUGCAUAAGUUGUCCAGGCUGCCAGUUACAUGAGAAGAAGAGUUUGGAAAGAGAUGCAACUCCACCUACUGCAAUCUGUUUUCGAUCUGGCCGUACAUUCGGAUCCCAGGAGGCCAGAAAAAUGCAACCUGAGAAUCCUGCAGAGAGCAGAAUGGAAAUAAAAACCACAGCAGCUUCUGC